AGUGAAGGAGACCAAUGCCACAAGGGUUAUCUCGCAGCCCCAGAUGCUGGAUAAGUUGGAGGAGGCAGAAUCGCUUUUGGAUGACAUUCAGGAAGGCCUUGAAUGAUUAUUUGGUGAAGAAAAGACUAUUCUUUUCAAGGUAAACAGUCCAUUGCAUCUGUC
ensembl:misc_RNA